UAUGUGAUCGUCUCUCGCAUAUCAAUAAGCGGAGGAAAAGAAACUAACAAGGAUUCCCCUAGUAACGGCGAGUGAAGCGGGGAAGAGCUCCAAAUUUGAAAUCUUAAAGGGUUUCCCCUUACGAAUUGUAGUUUAAAGAAGUGUUUUCUGUUGAGGUUUUGGUAAAAGUUCUUUGGAAUAGGACAUCAUAGAGGGUGAGAAUCCCGUAUUUGACCUUUACUUUCAACUUUGUGAUACACUUUCAAAGAGUCGGAUUGUUUGGGAAUGCAGUCCAAAAUGGGUGGUAAAUUUCAUCUAAAGCUAAAUAUUGGCGAGAGACCGAUAGCGAACAAGUACCGUGAGGGAAAGAUGAAAAGAACUUUGAAAAGAGAGUUAAACAGUACGUGAAAUUGUCAAAAGGGAAGCGUUUGACACCAGUGUUGUUUUUCUGAAAAUCAAUUAAAGAACUGUUUAUGCUAAGUUGUUUAGACUUUAUCAGCUAUCUGCUUAGUUUUGAGCUUUUCUUUAAUGCACUUUUCAGUUAACAAGUCAACAUCAAUUUCUUUUGCUGUAAAAAAGCUUGAGGAAGGUGGCUUGAGAUUCGUCUUAAGUGUUUAUAGCCUCUUGCCUAUGCAGUCGGAGAGAUUGAGGUCUGCAGCGUAGAUCCUUCGGGGCUAAAUGCAUUUGUGCUAAGUUAUAGCAUUUUAUAGACAACUUGUUGACUAUGAUUUGUCUUGUAGCUUACUCGCUUAUGUUAUUUUACCUACGCUUAGGAUGUUGAAGACUCUACAGAGAUA
rnacentral:rRNA from 1 species